rnacentral:rRNA from 1 species
AGUCGAACGAGAGCGACCGGUGCUUGCACUGGUCAAUCUAGUGGCGAACGGGUGAGUAACACGUGGGUGACCUGCCCAUCAGAGGGGGAUAACAUCCGGAAACGGAUGCUAAAACCGCAUAGGUCUUCGAGCCGCAUGGCUUGAAGAGGAAAAGAGGCGCAAGCUUCUGCUGAUGGAUGGACCCGCGGUGCAUUAGCUAGUUGGUGAGGUAACGGCUCACCAAGGCCGUGAUGCAUAGCCGACCUGAGAGGGUGAUCGGCCACAUUGGGACUGAGACACGGCCCAAACUCCUACGGGAGGCAGCAGUAGGGAAUCUUCCGCAAUGGACGCAAGUCUGACGGAGCAACGCCGCGUGAGUGAAGAAGGUUUUCGGAUCGUAAAACUCUGUUGUUAGAGAAGAACAAGUGCUAGAGUAACUGUUAGCGCCUUGACGGUAUCUAACCAGAAAGCCACGGCUAACUACGUGCCAGCAGCCGCGGUAAUACGUAGGUGGCAAGCGUUGUCCGGAUUUAUUGGGCGUAAAGCGAGCGCAGGCGGUUCCUUAAGUCUGAUGUGAAAGCCCCCGGCUCAACCGGGGAGGGUCAUUGGAAACUGGGGAACUUGAGUGCAGAAGAGGAGAGUGGAAUUCCAUGUGUAGCGGUGAAAUGCGUAGAUAUAUGGAGGAACACCAGUGGCGAAGGCGACUCUCUGGUC